ensembl:snRNA U2 U2 spliceosomal RNA
AUUACUUUUCAGCAUUUUGGCUAAGAGCAAGUAUAGUAUGUGUUAAUAUCAGUUUAAUAUUGGAUACAUCAUCUACCUGAGAACAAUAUAGGACAUGAACUUUUGGAGCUGGGGGAUGGAAUAGGAAUUUGCUCCAUGAACUCUGUGCAUCAACCUUGUAGGGUAGUGCCUUUGGGAAAAGUCUAACCCAU